AAUCACAAAACAGUGACCAUUUAUUAAAUUUGCCCAGAUAGUAGCAAUAAUAGAGAUAUUUAAAUUCCUAAACAAGCAGAGCAAAAUGAACUGAAAUGGUAAUAGCCAAGGGGGAAAUAAAGCACAUUUUACUAAUGUAAAAGAGGAAGACGACUACUUUAGCAUCUUCCAUAAUGAAUAAUAAAAAAGCGAGACUAUUAAGCCAGCCAUUAAGCAUCUAAACCAAUUAGUCAAAUAAACAUUUAAGUACUUACAGGCAAAAGUGUUGUUCUCAUAUAAUGUAUAAAACCCGAAGUGACAGCAGUGGCCAACAGUUUUGCCAAGUGUGCCCCAAGUCGAGCUCAAAGAGCAAAGUUGUGCUACUCUAGUGCCACUUAAAUACAGCAAUUUAUGUGAGUCGAAUUGCAUGUGGAAGGCCACAAGUUCUCCAUCCCAGCCAUAAAGUCUCAUGUGCGCUAGUUAUUUGUGAUGCAAAACGCAUACACAUUUUAUAAAGGCAGUGUUGUAGCAGAGAUCCUGGAGGACACCAUGUUGGAGCGAAACUGAACGUUAGUUUUAUUUUCCCCUCCCUUCUAGUAACUCUGGUGUUUACAGUGGUACCUCGGGUUAAGUACUUAAUUCGUUCUGGAGGUCCGUACUUAACCUGAAAGUGUUCUUAACCUGUAGCACCACUUUAGCUAAUGGAGCCUCCUGCUGCUGCCGCGCCGCCAGAGCCCGAUUUCUGUUCUUAUCCUGAAGCAAAGUUCUUAACCUGAAGCACUAUUUCUGGCUUAGUGGAGUGUGUAACCUGAAGCGUAUGUAACCCGAGAUACCACUGUAUAGAGCUAAUACUCCAAAAAUGUUUUCAAGGAAUCAGUUGACUAUUUGCAAGUCUCAGAGGCAGUGUAUAUGUAGAUCUCUCCCACAGACUGGUAUGGGUUUGCCUCUAGCCUACUAAGCUUGAGAAGAGGCAUCUCCUUCUUUGUAUACAACAGUGACUCAGCCAGAGGGAGGUCAGGCAGCUCCUUUGCACCACCAAUGCCUUCUCCUCUUCAGGUGUGCCAUUAGUCCCACUCUUGCUAUGUCACUUUUCAUAUCUGUGCCACACACUGACCAGCCAUGUUCAAAAAGUAGGAGAUUAUCCCAAAUCAUGGACUGAAGCCAUAUGAGGCCACAGGGUUCUGGAAGGUAGUCAGAUGUGGGUCUAGUCAGAGCCUGGAUGAGAAAUUACUUUUCUAUCAUAGAGUGCCAGUGUGGUUAGGGUGUUAGAUUAGAACUGAGGAAAGCUGUCCUGCUCUGGCCCGUGGAAAACCCCAAUGGCAAGUUUGCCGAACAGGUUGGUUGCCACAGUACUAGGAAGGGCUUCUAGUGAGCAACUUUCUCUGACAAGGGUUGGAAUAAACCAAGGUCUUUUGAGUCUCUUCAGUGUACCUCUCAGAAGCACCUCCUACAUUUGGAGAACGAGUGUGGUAGCCUUACUCAGAGUAGACCCUUGGAAAUUAAGAGACAAGAUUAACCUAGGUCCAUUAAUGGGUCUAUUCUGAGAGGACUUGGGUGAAUAUAGCCAUCUCUGGCCUGACAACAGGCACUUCUCCUGAACUCCAUGGCCUCCUGCCUGGUGAGCCUUCUGUGCCAUUGGAAGCACUUAGGUCCAGGAAAAGGUCUCACAAGAGUCUAGCUCUGGUUCUAGAGGCCAUGGAGCUGAGGGAUCUGAUUCCCUGACCUCCUGAGCACCAGGCUUGGGUUAAAUAACCUCCUGAUCACCAUCAUGUGACACUGUAGCCUCUGACUCGUCCUGGUCACUGCUGGAUCAUGAUAAAAUCCAAGUUCAAAUUCCCAUUCAGACAUGAAACUCACUGGGUGACCUUGGGUCAGUCACUCUCCGCUUUCUCUACCUCAUAGGAUUGAUCUGUUUUACUAUUCUAUUUACUACAUUUAAAAUGGAUCACUGAAGACCUGGGAUAGCUCAAUUGCUAGAGUAUGAGACUCUUAAUUUCAGGGUCGUCGGUUCAAGAACCACAUUGGAUAGAAGAUUCCUGCAUUGUAGAGGGUUGGACUAGAUGACGCUGGUGGUCCCUUCCAAUUCUCUGAUUUUAUAACCACAGCCAACCUUUCCUCCAAGAAGUUCAAAGCACCAUAUAUGAUGCUUCCUCGCUUCCUCCAUUUUAUCCUCACAAUAUUGAUGGUUAGGUUGAGAGACAGUGGCUGGUUACUCAGUGAGUUUUGUUGCUGAGUGGAAAUUUGAAAUCUGGAUUGUUGUGAACAGUGCUAUUUUUCUAGAAACAUUGGUGGUGGAACUCACCAUGAACACCUCCCUUGUUCUCUUAGAAUGGCAAUAGCACCAACUGAGAGGUGCCGGAAUUGAGUUCUUGUGUGUUCCUGCUGAAAAAAGCCCUGGUUGUGAGGAUAAUGUGGAAAGAAGGUAAUCCUUGAAGGAAAGUUUGUUCCAACUUGUUUAAAUAUGUAAUAAUAAUAAUAGUUAUUGUUGUUAUUGUUACUUUAUUAGUUAUACCCUGCCCAUCUGGCUGGGUUUCCCCAGCCACUCUGGGUGGCUUACAGCAGAUCUAAAAACUUAAAAAAAAAUCAAGCGUUAAAAACUUCCCAAUACAGGGCUGCCUUCAGAUGUUUUCUAAAAGUUGUGUAAUUCUUUAUUUCCUUGACAUCUGGGGGGGGGGGCGUUCCACAGGAAGGACGCCGCUACUGAGAAGGCCCUCUGCCUGGUUCCCUGUAACUUUUCUUCUCGCAGUGAGGGAAUCAACAGAAGACCCUUGGAGGAGGACCUCAGUGUCCGGGCUGAACAAUGGGGGUGGAGAGGCUCCUUCAGGUAUACUGGACCGAGGCCAUUAUAGGGCUUUAAAGGUCAGCACCAACACUUUGAAUUGUGCUUGGAAAUGUACUGGGAGCCAGUGAAGAACUUAGUUUACUAUAAGCUUAGUUAGCAAUGCCCCUUUGUGGGGGACUGAGACAGCCUUUAGAUGUUAUCCUCAUAGGCAUUAGGAUUCACAGAGAGACAUUAAAUAUAGCUUCCCCCCUCUUAAAAUUUGUGAUAACCCAAAAGUAUUCCCAUAUCAAAUCAUGUGCUAAGCUAUUCCUAGAUGCUGAACUUUUCUUAAAUGUUAACUGAUGCUUUAUUGAAGAUCUAACCCAGAUAACUGGAUUGCACGACUUAGGAAUUCACAAAAUAUUUCCCUGGUGACGGUAGCUAAACAAGACUGUUAAAUAUCAGAAGGGUCAAUUGAGAAUCCCAUGGUUCCAAACAUAGAUGUAAAAAACCCUCCACCAAUCUCUUUUCUUUACUCUAAAUUAUAUUGCAUCUAUAAAAAAAGGACACAUCACAGGAAAUACAGACUUGCUGAGUGCAAAGAGAAGAAUCAAAAUACACAGAAGAUGGCUUCUGAGGCAGCAAGAGCUAAGAGCUCUGAAUACUGUUGACACUGAAAUUUUUGAAACACUAUUUUGUCAAGUGAAGAAACUGCCAGCUUUUGUUCAGCUUGAUUAUAUUACUAAUGAGUGCUAUCUGUCGUCCACACUCACUACAUUAUUGUCAGCUGAUGUUUUGGAGAGCAAGCUUAGGAUGUUUGUUCAAUGGCUUUUGAGGGACAGAGAUUUCUUCCAUGAUCACCAAUAGAUGGUUCCUUCUGAAAUACAGCUUAGAUGCUUAGGUAGGGACUGCAACAGCCCUAUCUGACAGCUGUCUGGAAGUAACAGCCUUAGAUGGAUGCCAUUUGGCUUUGUAUGAAAUAAUGCUUUGCAAAUGCCUUGCAGAUCAACAUUGUGUGUGCUUGCUUCCUGUAUCAUGUCCAAUGUCUAUUUAUAGAUCAAUAGCUAUAAAAACAAUGACAAGUCUCCUAUGGAAUUAACAUGCUUCCUAUGGAGAUUGCUUAGAGAAGUGGUGAAGCCACACUUUAGGUGGAACCUGGAUCUCACCUAAAAGUGGGGUGGAGAGAUUGAGUGAGAGGGAGAGGGAUUUGAGAGUAAUUUCACAAAAAUAAUAAAGGAUCUAUCUAUGUUUACAUGUGUCCUUGACUUUUCUAGCCCAUAUGCUCCAGUUAUGCUAGGAAGGCACUAUAACAACUUUUUAUUCUUAAAGACGUUCAUUUAACUACUGGAACAAUACGUUUCAGUCUAUGAAAGUUCAGUCUAUUUUUGCUGCAAGACUUUGAACUCAGUGAUACUUUCCUCUGACUUUUAAUUUGUAUAGUGAAUCAAUUGUAUGCAAUAGUUCUUUUCGCAUGACUUACCUUUUAUAUUACAUGAUUUCAAAAAUGAAGUUACAAUUUUUUAAAACUUGCUACCAAUUGAAUAAAUUGAUUCAAAAUUGGGAAAGGAGUACGAAAAGGCUGUGUAUUUUCUCCCUGUUUAUUUAACUUAUAUGUAGAAUCCAUCAUGCGAAAGGCUGGACUGGAUGAAUCCCAAGCCGGAAUUAAGAUUGCCAGAAGAAAUAUCAACAACCUCAGAUAUGCAGAUGACACAAUUUUGAUGGCAGAAAGUGAGAAGGAAUUAAAGAAGCUUUUAAUGAGAGUGAAAGAGGAGAGCGCAAAAUAUGGUCUGAAGCUUAACAU